rnacentral:lncRNA from 1 species
UUGUUUUUAACCACUUCCUUUCCAGGCAAAACAAUGGCAUUUAUAGGAGAAGAACUGUGAACGAAAUAAUAGAAUAGGAAUAAGAAAGCAAAGUAGAAUAACAAAAUCAAAUUUUCUUCCCCUUUGUUUGGAUCAUCCCAGAGAUCUGUUCUAAGAAAUAAUAGAAAGAAAGAAAUUGUGGGCAGAUCUUUCUUCUGGGAAUUUUUUUUUCCUUUUUUUCUGGUUGAUCGAUACAGAAGGGAAAGAUGAAUAUAUUUAGAUUAGCAGGGGACGUGACCCAUUUGGCGAGCGUCCUUGUUUUGUUCCUCAAGAUCCACACCAUCAAAUCAUGUGCUGGUUCGCAUUUCUACAUUCUUCCCCAUUUCCAAAACCUCCAUAUGUAUACAUUUAUGAAAUUGUAUGGUGAUGAAUUUGAAUCUUACUGGUGAUUGCAUUGUUUUUUUUUUUUUAAUUGGGGAAAUUUCAUUUUUGGUAAUUUCAGUCAUGUUUCUUGAGUUGAUGUAACUGGUUUUGGUCUUGAGUUGAUGUAACUGGUUUUGGAAAACUUUUUGUCGUAUUGCUUAAAAUAUUUUAGUACUUCUGUGUAUUGCGGCUACUAAAGUAAGUUAUAUAGAUUUGUAUUUCAACUAGCUAAUUUAUGUGCUAUGAUUAUUGAUUCAUCUUAACUAGUUCAUUGGGCAUAUAGUGAGAAAAAUGACUAGUUAUCAGGAUGUUGAGCCUGAUGGGAAUCUUUAGGAGAAUGAAAUUGAAGUGCAAUUUUCUAAAGCUAAAAAGUAGUUUCAUCCCGGUUAUUUAGCAGGCACAAAAUAAUUUUGUUGGCAGACUUGAUGCAGUGUCGAGAACUCUAAAGUGUUAAGGAACUGGCAAAGGCUUGUUUUUAUAUGUUAGUUUAUUAUGUGAAUUUCAAAUCUCGGUCACAUUUGGCAUGUAAUGAACCAUUUUUAUUUUGUUCCAUUUUCAGUUUUCUCCUCUCUUCUGAAAUGUAGUGUUUCUUUAUCUUAUUAAUUCUGGGUAUUCACUUUACAAUUCAGUGAUAAAUCUAUUUUUGAAUCAUCAGAACACUUCUUGAAGUAAUAUAAUUACUGUCCUCUUCAUUAUUUCUCUUCGUUAUUUUGAAUCCUAAAUUUGGAACUGGUACCAUUCUCUACGUUGCUUAGCAGUUUGCUGGAGAUUUCUCAAAUUGAUGGAAUUGCUAGACGGCGCUGCUCUGAGAAAUGGUUUGAAAUGCUGACUACAAUGUCCAUUGUGGAAUGAAAAUAUCAUUAGUGUUCCAUGUUCUAUGUUUGGUUCCCAUUUUCAGUGCUUCGAGGGAGACGUGUACAGGAGCAGAUAACAUGACAAAACUCUAGAGAUUGGUCAAUGCACCUCUAAUACUUGAGAACCUAAGUCCAAUGUCAUGUCCAAACAUGUUUCUUGACUAAACAAAAGUACAUGUAAUUUUAUGCAUGUUCAUGACUUGUCUUCAUUUGUAUGGGAGGUGAACUAGAACACAGGUGCUAAACUCGACAUAAGACCUGCUACAUACUCAGUCUGCUUUGAAUCCCUGAACGUCUUUCAGUCUGAUCGAGUCAGAUUUAGAAAAUCUUCUAAAUAACCUAGAAUAUUUUUCUCUUGCGCACUGAUUUGAGUCAGUCGAGAGUCACUUCAAAAUAAGUGUGUUAAUGGGUCCUGCUUGAUCACAAUGUUUCUGAAAAGUUUUCUGCGCUAAAAGAGUAGGAUUAUCAUGCCUCUGAAUGUGUUUCCUAUUUGACACCUAAGAAAAUAGAAACUUCAAUUCUGGGAACAGUUUUGGGGGGCUUGAGGACAGAAUACAAUAGAAAACAUUGUUUUCCAUUGAUGUCUAUGUAGAAGCAAUCUCAACAGUUGUGUUUUUUAAUCUUUUCUUGAUAAUGAAUUGUUUCUGAUUAUCCUUGAAAGGGUUGAAAGGGUUCUUUAGGCAUCAAUAAAAAAUAUUGGAAAAUAUGCACUUGAAUUAUAGUGGUAUUGUGGAUACAUCUGCUUAGUAUAAAUGCUUUAUAAAAGUUCAUCCUCUUAUUCAUCUUUUUUGGCCGAUUAAAAUAAGUUUUUUCUGUUUUUCUUGCAAUUGAUUUUAUGUUUCUGCUAGUGAAAAUUGAAGUAAGAAGCUGUAUGAUGAAAUUAUCUUUAGAUAAAUUAGAGCUGCAUCCCAUUUAUAUUAGCUUCAUUUGAUGUUCACUUCCUCCCUCAUAUGCACGGAUUUCUCUGAAGACUCAGGAACUCUAUGCUCUUGUCUUUGCCACUCGCUACUUGGAUCUUUUUACUGACUACAUUUCACUGUAUAAUACUCGAAUGAAAUUAAUUUUCUUGGGAAGCUCUUUCUCAAUCGUCUGGUAUAUAAGGCAUCACAAGAUUGUCCGCAGAUCCUACAACAAAGAUCAGGACACAUUUCGCCACUAUUUCCUCAUGCUGCCAUGUUUACUAUUGGCUCUAGUCAUAAACGAAAAGUUCACUGUCAAAGAGGUUCUCUGGCUUCCCCAUUGGACUAUUAUUUCAUGACUUAGUUUACAUUGUUCAUGGCUAAUUACUUGUGGAAAAAUAACUUAGCUCCUCCGAAUUAUGAAAAUGAAUUAUUACUCUACCUUUCUAACAUUCUUUGCAGAAAACUGCGGUCUAGCCUGUUCUUCUUGUUCUAUUACUUACCUUGUAUUUCUUGUUUAUUUGAGUGAUCGGAUAUUGUGGGCAUUCUCCUUGUACUUGGAAGCUGUAGCUAUCCUUCCUCAGCUGGUUCUGCUGCAGAGGACAAUAAACAUUGAUAACUUGACCGGGCAAUAUGUUUUUUUUCUGGGGUAAUCCAUUAUUACCAUUUUCUUUCCUUCUAUCUAAAAUUAUAUAUUGCAUACAAAUUUCUAUAUGAAGUGAGUUUCAGGGUAGGAUUUGUGUCAGCAUCUAGUUGCAGUGAGCUGUGGUUUUGUGGUUCUUAUUGAAACCCUCCUCCUUGAUUUUUAAUUUAUAAUAUCAUGGGUUAAUACUUCUCCUUCUGCAUGUGGAUGCUUAGUCAUGGGAAAUGCUAACCUACUACAUAUGUAGUGCCAUACCUAAGUUUUCUUUGACAUGUAGCUCUUCCACCUCACCAUGAUUUGGUAAGGUGUAAAUUCAUGAUUGUGGUCUUAGUUUUCAUAAGAAACGGUGAUAAAAUAUGUUCCUGAAGAAAUUAGUCCAGAAGCUGAAUGCAGCUUGCCCUUCCAAUGGUGCUUCUUUCUUAUAAAUGAUAUAUUUUUUUUAUUAGUAUUAUAAGAAAAACCUGGAAAAUUUAUCCUUGAAGAAAUUAGACCUCCUGUGCAACUGUAAAUGUUGUCGAUUUGUAUCUUCGAGUAUCAUAGCAUUCAUUUUGUGAGAUUCAAUUUGGAAGCCUACGAAGCACAAAUAUGUACAUGGCCACAGAUAUGAAACAUCAACAUGUAACUUUUAAAAAGAGAUGAUGCAAAAUGUUGUUUACGAUACUUUAAAUUAUGCAUUGAUGCGUUAUAUAUUUAUUUUUAUACUUCUUUAUGUUUUACCUAAACUUAUUUUAUUAGCUUUGACUGUGAAACUUCCAGGUGAAAUAUUUGAAGUUGAGGACUGGUUGUUUGUAUUAAGACAAGGUUUAGUCGUAAAUUGUAUUAUUAGUGUCAAUAAAAUAAAAAUAAGUGCACGUAAUAAAUGUAAAACAAAUACCUCAUGUUCGUAUAGUUUCACAUUAUUUUGAAGUUUUAAACAUAUUUUUAUGAUUAAAGUUUGCAUAAUUUUGUAUUAAAAUUUACAAAAUAGGGCUUCCUGUGUUGCUAACAAGUUGUGGCAAUGUCUCUCAAAUGCCAGAAAAUUUAGAAUAUAAGAAAUAGGAGCCAUCAUGUGUGUGUUGGUCACAUGUCUAUGCCUUGUUAGUACCUUCUAUCUCGUACAGUCGCUAUUGUGUGUUGAAUUAUUAUUAUUAUUACUUUUAUUUAAAAAGAAAGGGUAUGCCAAGUGGUGCAUGAUUCGUGUCGGACACAUCCCGGUGUGUUGGUGCAUGAUACUUGUCAGAUGCUUCACAUGUGGAGCUUUCGUGGUGAACAAAGUGGUGAUAUGCACUAUGAUAUAUGUUUGUCUUUUGUCUAGAUAUCUACAAUCUCUCUUUUUUUUCUUUUUAUUUUUUAUAAGUAAUUAUAUAAUUUUAUUAAUAAAUGGGAUAAUACAUGGGGGUGUAUUGUCAAAAUAAACAAGAAAGAAACGACUUGAAGUUAGGCAACCCUUCUAUACGGUUAGUGGCCGCAACGUUAAACCAAUUAUACAAAGUCAUAUAAAACAAUUCUUUGAGGUAUGAAUAGUAAAUAAUUUGUUUUAGCAGAAAAAUAGAAAUUGAAUAAAUAGGUUUCACAACGGCUUUAUCUACUGACUCGUAUUCUGAUACAGAAUUCAUAAUUCAUCUACUCUCUCUAAAAUUCUUUGAUGAGUUGACCAUUGUGAACUAAAAUUGGUUCUUGGCAAUUGGUUCAUUUCUUCAUUUCCAUCUACCGAUGGAUGUUUCCUUAGUUCCAUGGGGAGAAGAUGUGAUCAUGGGCUAGUUGAUGAAUUAGUUAGUUUAGAACUUUAUCUGCAAAAUUAGAUAUCACCCAAAGAGAGUAACUUUGUGGGCAUCCCUAGCCAUUCUUCAACCUCUCUUAUCCUCAAAUUUCCUUUAUAGUUAGUGAACAAUCCCUGUCCUGACAUUCUGUAGCUAGCUUUGACUACAGUUAUGAGCAUCACGUGUAUCAUUGACAGAAGACUAAUUCAAUAUCUCAUGACAGAUCCAGUCUACUUCUCAUGUUAACAAAUUAGUUCUAUCACUUGUGGGCAUCCCUAGCCAUUCUUCAAUCUCUCUUAUCCUCAAAUUUCCUUUAUAGUUAGUGAACAAUCCCUAUCCUGACAUUCUGUAGCUGGCUUUGACUACAGUUAUGAGCGUCAUGUGUAUCAUUGAUAGAAGACUAAUUCAAUAUCUCAUGACAGAUCCAGUCUACUUCUCAUGUUAACUAAUUAGUUCUAUCACUCGCGUCGUCCAUGUCUAAUAAAUCUGAAAUACCAAUAUUUGGUGCCAGAACUCUGGGUUUUAAGUUAUUGUCUUUUGGUUAAAUGAAUGAUGAAACUCAAAUGUAUCUAUCCCACCUUAUUGCUGCGCAUACCGGUCAUUAUACUUAUUGAACUGGAUUUAUCGCUAAUUCACUGAGCCACAGUAUGUUCACUAGAUAAGUAUGUCUCUCUCUCUCUCUCUGGGUACAUCAUGUUUGAUAAAGGUAUUUUGCAGCAGCUUGCAUAGUUUUGUAUAUGUGCAAAAUGAAAAUAUCACCAUCUGUAUCUAAAUUGAUAUCCUACUUAUGUGCUCCUUCUGCAAAUGCAGCUUGGAUUUCUGGACUUGUUCAGACACUGCUUUACGCCGAUUUCUUUUAUUAUUACUUCCAAAGUUAAAAUUUUCAAGCAUUGGGGCAUAUUUAUAUAGGGAAGUGCUACAUGUACAUAAUUGUAUACAUAAUGGUGUCCAUAAUUACACGUGGCACUGGAUCUAACCUUUAAUUCAAAUUUUACACUUGCACAUCAAUAAUCGGAUGAUUGCCACAUCACAUUAUGGAUACCAUUAUGUGCAAUAAUUAUGUAUAAGUAGAAUUUUCUAUUUAUAUAAGCUUGCCAUUUUGAACUUGUAACUUUACUCAUUUUCAUCACUGUUGCAGCUGGAAGAAUAAUGUGAAGCUUGAGUUGCCCGCUUGAGGUUAUAGGAAGAAUUUUGAUAAAAGCAUACACAAAUAUAUAUAAGGCCCAUCGCAUUUUUAUAGUCUUUGUCUGUGGAUCUGUCUAGAAGAAGCAUUUCGUUUAUUCUUAACCAAUUGGGGUUUACCAAAUCAUGUGUAGCACCAAAAGAACUUGUCUUGUGAUUUAUACUGACUGUAACUUACGUUGACAUUUUUUAUUUUUAAGUCCUUUGAACAUUCCUUCACGUUGGGGCUUUGUACUGGAGAAACGUAGAUAGCAUUUAGGCAAAAAAUUUGGUUAUAUCAGCAGAACUUUGUGUGAUGCCCAGAGAUUACUUCCUACGUGUCUCUGCAUUCUUUCAUCGAUCGUGCAAGAUUUCAUAAAUUGCCUUCUCAAUUUAGAAACUUGUACAGAAAGGGAAUUAGAUAGGUGGAUAAUUAGUUAGAGUAGCGAAUGCUAUAGCGAAACUAAUUGCAACAGAGUUCUGCUUCUGACGGCAACAUGUUUGGUCCAG